rnacentral:snRNA from 1 species
GUCGUGCCCGGACCCUGUCGCAC